rnacentral:rRNA from 1 species
ACGAACGCUGGCGGCGUGCCUAACACAUGCAAGUCGAACGGAGUGUUGCGCUGAAACCGAGAGCAGCUUGCUGCAGGAAGUUCUGUAACACUUAGUGGCGGACGGGUGAGUAACGCGUGAGCAACCUGCCUUACAGAGGGGGACAACAGUUGGAAACGACUGCUAAUACCGCAUAACAUAGCGAGUGGGCAUCCACCUGCUAUCAAAGGAGCAAUCCGCUGUAAGAUGGGCUCGCGUCCGAUUAGCCAGUUGGCGGGGUAACGGCCCACCAAAGCGACGAUCGGUAGCCGGACUGAGAGGUUGAACGGCCACAUUGGGACUGAGACACGGCCCAGACUCCUACGGGAGGCAGCAGUGGGGGAUAUUGCACAAUGGAGGAAACUCUGAUGCAGCAACGCCGCGUGAGGGAAGAAGGUUUUCGGAUUGUAAACCUCUGUUUUUGGUGAAGAAACAAAUGACGGUAGCCAAAGAGGAAGCCACGGCUAACUACGUGCCAGCCGCGGC